rnacentral:rRNA from 1 species
AUUGAACGCUGGCGGCAUGCUUUACACAUGCAAGUCGAACGGUAACAGGCCGCAAGGUGCUGACGAGUGGCGAACGGGUGAGUAAUGCAUCGGAACGUGCCCAGUCGUGGGGGAUAACGCAGCGAAAGCUGUGCUAAUACCGCAUACGAGCUAUGGAUGAAAGCGGGGGACCGUAAGGCCUCGGGAGAUGGGAGGGGCCGAUGUCAGAUUAGGUAGUUGGUGGGGUAAAGGCCUACCAAGCCGACGAUCUGUAGCUGGUCUGAGAGGACGACCAGCCACACUGGGACUGAGACACGGCCCAGACUCCUACGGGAGGCAGCAGUGGGGAAUUUUGGACAAUGGGCGCAAGCCUGAUCCAGCAAUGCCGCGUGCAGGAAGAAGGCCUUCGGGUUGUAAACUGCUUUUGUACGGAACGAAACGGUCCGGGUUAAUACCCUGGGCUAAUGACGGUACCGUAAGAAUAAGCACCGGCUAACUACGUGCCAGCCGCCGCCGUAAAAC